GUUGGAAACGACUGCUAAUACCGCAUAAGACCACAGUACCGCAUGGUACAGUGAUCAAAGGAUUUAUUCGCUGAAGGAUGGCUUCGCGUCCGAUUAGGUAGUUGGUGAGGUAACGGCCCACCAAGCCUACGAUCGGUAGCCGGACUGAGAGGUUGAUCGGCCACAUUGGGACCGAGACACGGCCCAGACUCCUACGGGAGGCAGCAUG
rnacentral:rRNA from 1 species